rnacentral:lncRNA from 10 species
AAAGCGCCCGCCAGGACAGGCUCCUGGUGGGUUGUAAGGAGAACGGCAGGAAGAAGUGCUCCCAGGAAGCUGCCUAGCCACCGCCACCACCACAGGGUUCCAUCCAACUGCCCACAGUUUUGCUGAACUAGGAAUUGUCCUGAGAACUUUCUUCCACAAUGGCUCAGCAGAUCUCCAUUUUAAACCGGCAGUCUGCAAACUCAGCCCUGAGGACACAGCCAGCCCGCUUCCAGGCAUCUCCUGCGAGCUGCUCCCAGGAAAGAACAGCAAAGCAACCUGGUCCAGUGUAGACAUGCUGUUCAAAUCAUCUGUGGUUGAAUGACUAUUUUUUUAAUUUAAUCUUUUGCAGACAUUUUUGGUAAAACAUUAUAUAAAUGAAUUACUAGAAAAAAAGAAAUACAAAAGUAAAAACAUAUGAAAUAUAAGCCCCAAUCUUUUGUUAUUAGAUUCAAUACACAUAGAAAUAAAUUUUAAUACAUACAAUCAAAACAAACAGCAUGGGAUAAAAUAAAAGAAUCCCAAAACCA